rnacentral:rRNA from 1 species
ACGGGGUGCAGCAGGCGCGAAAACUCCACAAUGUACGGAAGUACGAUGGGGUUACCUCGAGUGCAGUCCGAUAAGGGCUGCUUUUCCAUAGAGUAAUAUCCUGUGGGAAUAAGAGGGGGGCAAGACUGGUGUCAGCCGCCGCGGUAACACCAGCCCCUCGAGUGGUGGGGACUAUUAUUUGGCCUAAAGCGUCCGUAGCUGGCUGUAUCCGUCUCCCGGUAAAUCCGGCGUCCUAAGCGUCGGUUCUCGGGUGAUACCAUACAGCUAGAGGGUGGGAUAGGUGAGCGGUAUUUCUGGGGUAGGGGCGAAAUCCUUUGAUCCCAGGAGGACCACCAGUGGCGAAGGCUGCUCACUAGAACACGCCUGACGGCCAGGGACGAAAGCUGGGGCAGCGAACCGGAUUAGAUACCCGGGUAGUCCCAGCUGUAAACGAUGCUAGCUAGGUGUUGGGUCGGCCACGCGCCGCCCCAGUGCCGCAGGGAAGCCGUUAAGCUAGCCGCCUGGGGAGUACGGCCGCAAGGCUGAAACUUAAAGGAAUUGGCGGGGGAGCAC